AGCGAACGCUGGCGGCAGGCUUAACACAUGCAAGUCGAACGGACUUCUUCGGAACUCAGUGGCAGGCGGGUGUAUAACGCGGGGACACGUCCUCUUCUGUUCAGUAUAACUCAGGGACAAGUGCGCUUAUCCCGUAUACGCCCAUGGGGGGAAAGGUUUACUGCCGAAGGAUCGGCCCGCGUCUGAUUAGCUUGUUGGUGGGGUAACGGCCUACCAAGGCGACGAUCAGUAGCUGGUCUGAGAGGAUGAUCAGCCACACUGGGACUGAGACACGGCCCAGACUCCUACGGGAGGCAGCAGUGGGGAAUAUUGGACAAUGGGCGCAAGCCUGAUCCAGCCAUGCCGCGUGAGUGAUGAAGGCCUUAGGGUUGUAAAGCUCUUUUGUCCGGGACGAUAAUGACGGUACCGGAAGAAUAAGCCCCGGCUAACUUCGUG
rnacentral:rRNA from 1 species